GCUCCUCAGAGUUGGAAUGUUGAAGCAAAACCAGAAGUUGAAACGUAAGAAGCAUAGGUGGCGGUAUUAACGGCUUUUGGAAGCGAAAAGACUAGGGACAACGGGGAAUAGUAAAGUCCCUGGGCGGUUUCGUGUGAGGGUGAAAGUUGGAGCGGAAAUUGACACGUGUCGAUUAUUAAAGCAAUGAUUGGUUAGUUUUGGAGGACUGUGAGAGUCCACGUGGACCACAUUUCCAGCUGGUAACUGGUAAGUAGCAGUGAUGGACCCCUCAUACCAAGCCGCCAACGUGGGCCGGGCCCGGGCCCACGGGCCUACUUCCCAAAAGUCACAUAUUCCCUGAUGAAUAUGACUUUCUGUUUUUGUAUUUCAUCCACUUUGGACACAACAAGAUUGCAUUAUUAUUGGAAUUUAAUUUGUUUUGAUCUA